GCCUAUGGUAUGUGUUAGAGGGAUUCAGUAGGUCUAUGGUAUGUGUUAGAGGGAUUCAGUAGGUCUAUGGUAUGUGUUAGAGGGUAGGUCUAUGGUAUGUGUUAGAGGGUAGGUCUAUGGUAUGUGUUAGAGGGUAGGUCUAUGGUAUGUGUUAGAGGGUAGGUCUAUGGUAUGUGUUAGAGGGAUUCAGUAGGUCUAUGGUAUGUGUUAGAGGG